AUAUGGACUACGCCGAACUUCCCAAAGGAAUACGGGGGAACCAAUAUUAGUGGGGUGAAUCCGCUAUCAAGCGGUAGGGAUACCUUCCGUCCCGAACCCGUCAGCUAACCCCGGAGGCGAUUAGAAGGAGGAAAC
rnacentral:sRNA from 1 species